rnacentral:lncRNA from 1 species
AAAUUGUGACUCGAAUGGAGAGAUGUCUUAUUGGCACUUAUACCACAUUUUCCUAUAUAUAUUUAUUCUUAAGUGACACUGUCAUGGUAAAAAUAAAAAAAUAAAACAGUAUAUUAAUUAUAUUUUUUAAUAUAAAUAUCAAAAUAGACAAAAGCUGCAUAACACAUAUCUAUCACAGAAUGUUUGAUCGUAUAAAAUACAAGAUAAUGUAAUGGAAGACUGGACAUGAUUAAAAAUGGUCAGACAGACGCAAGUAACAAUCGGGUGAAUCCGCUGAAAGUACGGAAUUGGCCGAAUUGCGACGAAUGACACAAGUAACAAUCGACAACCCUCGGGUGAAUCCGCUGAAGGUACGGAAACUACCGAGUCGUGACGAAUGACAAAAGUAAAAAAGGCACGAAAAAUAUACUGAAUAGAACAAAUUACUUUUGAUUUUUAUCAGAGACAUUUACACUGUAAAUACAUACCAGUAUAAGUUUCUGAUUUUAUAAUUUAGAAAUAAACUUUAAUUUCUAACAACCAUAACAAGUGAAUAGUUCUUGUUGUAACAAACAAAAUUAACCAUAUGGUGUAAUUUUUACUGGACAGAAAAUAUAUUAUAAAAAUAAUAAUUUUUCAUUAUAAGAUUUUGAAUAAAAUUAUAUAUGAUGCUAAACUGUGUUACUCAGUAUAAGAAAAGUUUGUAGUUUGUCUGGAUGUCGGAUUUCAAUAUAAUGUAAAUUAAAUAGCAACACAUUUUUUAUAGCUAUAAACCACAAAUAAAGUGGUAUUUUUUUCAAAUUUGGUUUCAUAUUGUCUUGAAAUAUAACAUAAACUCGCAUAAAAAGCAAUCACAUAAAUAUUGAAAACGAACUCAGGUUUUUCCUUCGUACUUGAGAUUAACUAACUUUCGAAGAACCUCGCGGUUCUUCUGAUCAAAAGGUCAUGGAUUGUUUUUAGUCGGACGCAGCUCAAAAUGGCGAAACGAAAUUUGAGAACGUCAAUAAGGCUAUUUAUAUUUCCGAUCAUCUUAUCUUGCACAUUUCUACAAAAUAAUAAAAAUAUAAAUCUCUUAUAAAAUAACGAUUCAUGCUUUUUCAUCUGUCAGAAAGUGGAUUUACAACAGUAUAUGCAUACUGUUUGUGAAUAUCAUUUUAUCAUUACUUUUUUUAAUUUGACUCAGAACAUUUGAAAAAUUGAUUGACUAAGGGGUCAUCCAUAAUUGUCAACCAUUUUCCAAAGUGUACAAAACGUACACUUUAUCAGACCCCCCACCCUCCCUCAAAAAGUGUACAUCAACCAUUUUCAGAUUUCAAGAGAAGAAUCAGUCAUUCUUAAUAAAAAGAAGAUCCUGUUUAUCCUGUUUAUUAUAUUUUAGUUUAAUAUAGAACUUUGCAUUGAAAAAAAC